UCUAUGGUGCAUUCCAGCUUUGGAAUGUAUGGGUGCAUUCCAAACUUUUAACCAAUAGAAUUCAAUUUAAUUGCCACAUCAACUAAGGUCCAUGGUGAGUCUCUUUUUCCUUAAUAAACUUUUGUUUAUUGCAUAUGAGUCCUCCAUCAAAUGAAAAAUACAAAUCAAAAACAUUUUUAAUUUCAAUUUAAAAUCAUAAAUCAUUUACACUUUUUUAUUUAUGAUUUUUAACAUUAUUAUUUGAACAAAUUAAAAUUGAAAGUGAAAACCCUAAAUCCCAAAUUCCCACCUGUUCUCCAUUUUGUUCAUCCUUCUUCGUCCUUCUCCUUCUUCGAUUGUUCAUCCUUCUUCGUCCUUCUCCUUCUUCGAUUGUUCAUUCCUUUCUUUUUCUUCGUCAUCCAUCGUUUUAUUCUGGCCUCUCUCAGACUUCGUCUUAUUCGUUUUAUUUCAUUGAUAUCCAACUAAAGCAUUAUCGACUUCUCACCCAAUGUCGUAUCUGGGUUCCUGGUCGUUUGUAAUUCGCCAAAAACUAAAGCGUAAUUCGUAUCUGUCUUCACCCAACAACUAUUUUCAGUGCAAGAUUGUUCUAUGGUUCCAAGCAUCGUAGUGUACUUCACAGAUAAAUAAUGGAUGGCAAUAUUCCACUCUGAUCCCAAUUAAGGAAUCCUGUGUUUACGAGGUUUGAACUGGAAAACAGACAAUGUAGAAGGGCUUGAAGGGUAAACAAAUCAAGUUUUGUAAUGUUAAGUUUAUAGUUAGUGAUAUGUAUUUGAGUUGAAUAAGCACUAGUUAAUGAUAUGAAGUCAUUGCUAUAUUUUAGCUAAUGCUCAGUGUUAUAGUUGAAUAAUAUAUACCAAAUUAAGCUGUAGUACAGUAACAAUUUUCAAAUUGAAUAUUGUAAUCUUUUUUACUUGAGUAAAACAUGGUACAUUAUCUUUUGGAGGCUA